CGCUGCGCGCGAAGAAAUUCGCUAGUGGAAAAUUCAGGUGGCUUGUUACCAUGAACCCGUCUAAAUGUAGGAGCAUGGUUAUUUUGUGGAAAAAGAUAAAGCCUUACCACCCACCUCUUGUUUUUGAAAGUUACAAAUUUUUACAAGUUGAAAGCCACUGUCACUUAGGUCUUACAUUGCACUCUGCAAUGUCACAUUGCACUCUGCAAUGUCUUGGAAAACACAAAU